rnacentral:rRNA from 1 species
CAGCCGCCGCGGUAACACGGAGGGUGCAAGCGUUAAUCGGAAUUACUGGGCGUAAAGCGCACGCAGGCGGUCUGUCAAGUCAGAUGUGAAAUCCCCGGGCUUAACCUGGGAACUGCAUUUGAAACUGGCAGGCUAGAGUCUUGUAGAGGGGGGUAGAAUUCCAGGUGUAGCGGUGAAAUGCGUAGAGAUCUGGAGGAAUACCGGUGGCGAAGGCGGCCCCCUGGACAAAGACUGACGCUCAGGUGCGAAAGCGUGGGGAGCAAACAGGAUUAGAUACCCGUGUAGUCCCUGUCUCUUAUAC